UACAGAGGGGGCAAGCGUUGUUCGGAAUUACUGGGCGUAAAGGGCGCGUAGGCGGCCUUCUAAGUCGAACGUGAAAUCCCCGGGCUCAACCCGGGAACUGCGUCCGAUACUGGAAGGCUUGAAUCCGGGAGAGGGAUGCGGAAUUCCAGGUGUAGCGGUGAAAUGCGUAGAUAUCUGGAGGAACACCGGUGGCGAAGGCGGCAUCCUGGACCGGCAUCGACGCUGAGGCGCGAAAGCCAGGGGAGCAAACGGG
rnacentral:rRNA from 1 species